AGUGAACGCUGGCGGUAGGCCUAACACAUGCAAGUCGAACGGCAGCACAGUAAGAGCUUGCUCUUACGGGUGGCGAGUGGCGGACGGGUGAGGAAUACAUCGGAAUCUACUUUUUCGUGGGGGAUAACGUAGGGAAACUUACGCUAAUACCGCAUACGACCUACGGGUGAAAGAAGGGGAUCUUCGGACCUUGCGCGCUUGAAUGAGCCGAUGUCGGAUUAGCUAGUUGGCGGGGUAAAGGCCCACCAAGGCGACGAUCCGUAGCUGGUCUGAGAGGGUGAUCGGACACACUGGAACUGAGACACGGUCCAGACUACUACGGGGAGCAGCAGUAGGGAAUGUUGAACAAUGGGCGAAAGCCUGAAAGAGCAAUGGCGCGUGGGUGAAGAAGGUCUUCGGAGCGUAAAACUCUGUUGUUAGGGAAGAAAAAAAGCGUGAGUAAAUAUGCACGUCUUGACGGUACCUAAACAGAAAGCAACGGCUAACUACGUG
rnacentral:rRNA from 1 species